rnacentral:tRNA from 4 species
CGGGAUGUAGCGCAGCCCGGUAGCGUACUUGCAUGGGGUGCAAGUGGUCGCUGGUUCGAAUCCAGUCAUCCCGACAA